rnacentral:rRNA from 1 species
AGCGAACGCUGGCGGCAGGCUUAACACAUGCAAGUCGAGCGGGCCUUUCGGGGUCAGCGGCGGACGGGUGAGUAACGCGUGGGAACGUGCCCUCUGGUUCGGAAUAACUCAGGGAAACUUGAGCUAAUACCGGAUACGCCCUUUUGGGGAAAGGCUUGCUGCCGGAGGAUCGGCCCGCGUCUGAUUAGCUAGUUGGUGAGGUAAAGGCUCACCAAGGCGACGAUCAGUAGCUGGUCUGAGAGGAUGAUCAGCCACACUGGGACUGAGACACGGCCCAGACUCCUACGGGAGGCAGCAGUGGGGAAUAUUGGACAAUGGGCGCAAGCCUGAUCCAGCCAUGCCGCGUGAGUGAUGAAGGCCUUAGGGUUGUAAAGCUCUUUUAUCCGGGACGAUAAUGACGGUACCGGAGGAAUAAGCCCCGGCUAACUUCGUG